GGGGAAUUAGCUCAGUGGUAGAGCGCUUGCUUAGCACGGUUGGUUGCAUGAGGUCGUGGGUUCAAUUCCCACAUUCUCCA
rnacentral:tRNA from 1 species